GACGAACGCUGGCGGCGUGCCUAAUACAUGCAAGUCGAACGAGAGCGACCGGUGCUUGCACUGGUCAAUCUAGUGGCGAACGGGUGAGUAACACGUGGGUAACCUGCUCAUCAGAGGGGGAUAACAUCCGGAAACGGAUGCUAAAACCGCAUAGGUCUUCGAGCCGCAUGGCUUGAAGAGGAAAAGAGGCGCAAGCUUCUGCUGAUGGAUGGACCCGCGGUGCAUUAGCUAGUUGGUGAGGUAACGGCUCACCAAGGCCGUGAUGCAUAGCCGACCUGAGAGGGUGAUCGGCCACAUUGGGACUGAGACACGGCCCAAACUCCUACGGGAGGCAGCAGUAGGGAAUCUUCCGCAAUGGACGCAAGUCUGACGGAGCAACGCCGCGUGAGUGAAGAAGGUGUUCGGAUCGUAAAACUCUGUUGUUAGAGAAGAACAAGUGCUAGAGUAACUGUUAGCGCCUUGACGGUAUCUAACCAGAAAGCCACGGCUAACUACGUG
rnacentral:rRNA from 1 species